rnacentral:rRNA from 1 species
GACAGAGGUGCCGAGCGUUAGGCGGAAUCACUGGGCUUAAAGCGUGUGUAGGCGGGCGGGCAAGUACCUUGUGAAAUCCCACGGCUCAACCUCGAACUUGCGGUGGGUACGGGCAGACUAGAGUGUGGUAGGGGAGACUGGAAUUCCUGGUGUAGCGGUGAAAUGCGCAGAUAUCAGGAGGAACACCGAUGGCGAAGGCAGGUCUCUGGGCCACUACUGACGCUGAGAAGCGAAAGCAUGGGGAGCGAACAGG